UAGUCUUUGGUGCCAUUCCUCUAGUUAUCCAUAUUUGGUCAAUUCUAGUCCAUGUCAUCUUUCUGAAGCCAAGAUGACAUGGACUAGAAUUGACCAAAUAUGGAUAACUAGAGGAAUGGCACCAAAGAUAAA